rnacentral:rRNA from 1 species
GACGAACGCUGGCGGCGUGCUUAACACAUGCAAGUCGAACGGAAAGGCCCUGCUUUUGUGGGGUGCUCGAGUGGCGAACGGGUGAGUAACACGUGAGUAACCUGCCCUUGACUUUGGGAUAACUUCAGGAAACUGGGGCUAAUACCGGAUAGGAGCUCCUGCUGCAUGGUGGGGGUUGGAAAGUUUCGGCGGUUGGGGAUGGACUCGCGGCUUAUCAGCUUGUUGGUGGGGUAGUGGCUUACCAAGGCUUUGACGGGUAGCCGGCCUGCGAGGGUGACCGGCCAAAUUGGGACUGAGAUACGGCACAGACUCCUACGGGAGGCAGCAGUGGGGAAUAUUGCACAAUGGGCGGAAGCCUGAUGCAGCAACGCCGCGUGCGGGAUGACGGCAUUCGGGUUGUAAACCGCUUUCGCCUGUGACGAAGCGUGAGUGACGGUAAUGGGUAAAGAAGCACCGGCUAACUACGUG